rnacentral:rRNA from 1 species
GGAAUCUUCCACAAUGGACGAAAGUCUGAUGGAGCAACGCCGCGUGAGUGAAGAAGGUUUUCGGAUCGUAAAGCUCUGUUGUUGGUGAAGAAGGAUAGAGGCAGUAACUGGUCUUUAUUUGACGGUAAUCAACCAGAAAGUCACGGCUAACUACGUGCCAGCAGCCGCGGCAAUACGUAGGUGGCAAGCGUUGUCCGGAUUUAUUGGGCGUAAAGCGAGCGCAGGCGGAAUGAUAAGUCUGAUGUGAAAGCCCACGGCUCAACCGUGGAACUGCAUCGGAAACUGUCAUUCUUGAGUGCAGAAGAGGAGAGUGGAACUCCAUGUGUAGCGGUGGAAUGCGUAGAUAUAUGGAAGAACACCAGUGGCGAAGGCGGCUCUCUGGUCUGCAACUGACGCUGAGGCUCGAAAGCAUGGGUAGCGAACAGGAUUAGAUACCCUGGUAGUCCAUGCCGUAAACGAUGAGCGCUAGGUGUUGGGGACUUUCCGGUCCUCAGUGCCGCAGCAAACGCAUUAAGCGCU